AGCUUAUUAUGAAUUUUAUUUUAUCAAUUUUUUCUGACACAAGGACAAAUUCAUUGACUCAUCACAAAAAUUUUCAACUUCAAAACUUUUCCCGAAAUAUUAUUUGUACGAAAUAUUGUCUUUUGCGAAAUUGAUCUCUCUGAAAGCUUAUGCAGAAGUUCUUUAUCAACAAGAUCAAAUAUCUGAAGUAAAAAGCCUUAAAUCCAUUGCGAACAGUGAUAGCUUACAAGAUUUUACAUUUGAAACAUUCUUGUGACAUGAAAUGAUAAGAAAGUUUUCUUUAAGACACUUCUGACGCACCCUUCUAAAUUUUUAGCUUUCUUUCAGUAAUUAUCAAUCGUUUAUACUCUGCAGAGAGUCGGACAAAAAGUACUGAAAUACGCUAUGUUUCCGAUAUUUUGUGCCAUCUUCAGGGUUUUUCUUCUUCCUUACAAAAAAGAGCGAUGCCGGCUUUCAGAGCGAUGCGUAUUUGGUCACAUUUACAUUGUACCAAAACAUGUCAUACCAAAACAAUGAGUGAUUUUCAUAUAAUCUAGAAACUAGGGUUGUUUUCUCUCCAGAUUGCACAGUGUCUCGUACCUGAUUGCUCUAGCAAAAUGCAAACAGCACUCCUAUCUGUUAUGAAAAUCGCGGUGCUGCAAUAAUUAGCUUGUUUAGAGUACACGAGACCUAAAAUAAAUGGUUUUCUGUAUCUAUAAGUAUCCAUUGUGGGUACUCAGGGUCAAGAGGUUUCCUUGGGACUUGAAUAGAAAUAAAGAUGGGACCCGUGAUGGCGUCUUCAUUAAUACUGUGAUUUAUAUUGUUGUUGUUUUGUAAGGAACUUCUUUUGACUUAUUAGCGACCCUCAGAUCGGGGCCUGUGGAAUAUGCCCCUGUCCCCUGCCCCAAGCUUCCCUAUAAUGAUAUGUUUGAAUUUCAAUUUAUAAAACCAUUCUUGUAUAUUAUUUGGGGGUAGUAGGCCUAUUUAAUGCCGUGAAAAUGUAAAUCUAUAGCUUGGCUGCAAGAAAAGUGCCAAUGAACAUCACUGCUCAGUGCAUACAAAUGUCGGAUCGCAAAAGUUUACAACUGCUUCGUCUGUAUCCUUUCAUUAUGCAAGCCACGCCAAACAUUAGCAUUAGAAACUGUGGAAUGUUCGUUGAAACGGUAUCCAUUGUUGACGCAGCUUUUCGUCAACCCAAACAAUACGUUCAAUUAAUUUCACUAGACAUUUCAGUUCUGUUCAUAAGCCACCAGUGUUUGUGUUUUUCUGAUUUUCAUUCAACCAAAGAAAGGUACAUGGGUCUGGCGGUGUUGUAGAAGGCACGUGAUAAUCUGCGCAUCGCAAAGCUGAUUUCAAUAACAUACUUCUUUUACACCAGUGACAGACAAGGUAGAAGCUAACCUAGAGGGAUCAGAAUUGCGAUAAAGAAUCGUCGAUUGAGCUCAGUUUGGAAAACAUUUGCUUUUAUCAGCUAUGAAAACAUUACCUGCGGCAAUUCUGUCAAUUAUUGUUCUUCUGACAUUUGUCAAUAAUGAAAAAACGGCAGGGCAAUCAAAUAUUGUCAGCACAGUUUCACUCUCCGAUGUUAACAUUUCAAGCAUUUACAGUCUUGAUUAUUCACCCUUCAAUGUCGCCAUGACUACGAAUAUCCAGCACUCGUCGUCAACAUCAGAAUUUGCCACAGUCUUCCCAAGCAUUAGACCGACCCGCUCUUCUAAAGAGAAUGCUUCGAGUCACUAUUCAGUAACAGUGACAACAAUUGCAAGUAAUACUUCAUCGGAAGACGUCAGCGAUUCACUUUACUUGGUAUAUCAAAAGUUUAGCAGAAUAGACAGUUAUGUCCGCUUGGUAGACCUCUGUUUUGCAGUGUUGAGCUACCUUGUUCUGGUAUUGCUCAGGCUUCCCAAAUCUUCCAAGUUUUUCAUUCACAAAAAUCUUGUCGCAGCCAUUGGUAUAAAUGAUCUGAUCACUGGUGUAAUCAGCAACGAAAAUAUCAUCAAAUAUUUCAGUAAAAAUCAGCACACCUGCGCAAUGUUGCUGGUUCUUUACUACUAUUGGCAGCUUGCUUUAUUCAGCUGGAUGGCUGUUGAAGCUUUUAACAUUUGCUUGAUGCUGUCCGAAGUGUUUGACACCAGGUCCAAGCUGUAUAAACACCUUUGCUAUCUCGCAUUUGGAUACGGCAGUCCGGCCUUGAUUGUCAUUUUUGUUGUCUCUUUUGUUUGGAAAAAAGAGUUUACUAACAUGAGCAACUGUGUAUCCUUCAUCGACCCAUGGACUUUCCGAGGACCUGCGGCCGCUUAUAUUAGCAUCAAUAUCUUGGGGUUUAUAUACAUCCUUGGGUUUUCAUUCCGGCACAUCAUAACUUCGAAUAAAUAUAAAGGAGGAUUUCGAAAAUUCAUCGGAACAAUCCGGUCUUUUCUGGUUUUAUAUCCGAUUCUUGGAAUUAGUCAAGUGUCCGGCUUUUUCCUUCAAAAUAACAUCGUAGUCUUUGGGUGGCUGUACAUUGUGACAACUGGAUUUUUGGCAGUUCUCUUUUUCAUUUUUCACGAGCUGCUAGAUGCCCAAGUGAUGGGAGCUUUGAAGUUGAAAUUUUGUGGAAAUGAUAGAAGUCAAUCAAACAGAAGCUCAAAUUCAAGAAUGACGAUGGUCUAUAACAGGAGUUUAAAAAAGGCAAAACGCUUUUUGUUUCUCUCUAAUUGUAUUUUUAACCCUGAAAGCAUUAGCGAUAUUUUUGUAAUUGUAACGGAUCCUUCACAAUUGAGAAAUUGAAAAGUAUGCAUUUAUGUACGUGGAUGUCUUUACUCGCACAAGCAAAAAUAAAGGCCUUGGCUUCAGGGACUCUGUUAAUGUUGACGAUAAAAAAUUGUAGUCGAUUUAAAAAAGACAUUCUACCACCAAACAGAGAAAAAGUGAGGUUUUAGAUACUUGUGAGUUUAUGUUAAUAAAUGUUUCUUAAUGUCAAAAAUAAAGAUUGUUAAAAUUAAGCAUGGAUGAGGAUAUUUCCUGCGAACAAGAAUUGUUUAAUGCCAUCUUUGUUUGUUUCAGAUUUCUGCUGCAGAGGUAGAUGGAAAAGAUGUGAUUGAAAAUAAAGGCGUCAAUAUGAGUUCAAAGCUUUGAGUCUGAAAAGUUGGACAAGAGAAAAGCAUCUCUAAAGUCAAGUAAAUCGGCACAUUUCAAGUUUUUAAUUUAGUUUUCAACAUACCCAGAGUGCCUAGCACUUGCUUAUUUUGAUAAUUAAGUGUUUAUAAAAUAUCAUCCAACAUGUCUUCUGUUCCUAUUUCAAGGACUAGGGAAACUGCAAAAUACUUUGAUUUUGAGAAGUUCACUGGCGUUCAAAAAUCGAAAGUUCAUUGUCUUUGAUGUAUAUUAUCGUAUAUAUUUGUUGUUAAGCGAAAUGCCAUUUUUUCAGUAUCCUUUUCAAGAUGAACGCUUAAAAUAUAAACAGCAUUCAUAGAAUCACAACAAAUGCUCAUUGUAACAGGUGUAUAAAACUCCAACUGUUAGAACAUCAUUCACAGCUUUGAUGUUGCAAGCACAAUUGAUUAUUGAUGCACAAUCUCAAGCGUGCAUUUGAAUUAUCUUCCUAAGUAGCUUAAGACUAUAAUACUAUUAUACUUGUAUAAGCUCUAUAUGAACCGUCAUAUUCUUGGGCUUCAAGGUAGCUAAAUACCUUAAUGUAGUGAGGAAAUUAAGAACAAAUCUAUGUAAGAAGAUUUCGCUUUUAAAUAGCAUAAAGGUUGACCUACGAAUGUGAUUUAGCUUCAACAUCAUUAUAGGCUAACUGAUAAGUAAAAUACAAUAUGAUUAAGAUACCAUAUGAUUUAAUCUUUCGUGUGAUCUUUGUAACUAGUACGGCAAUAGUUGUCCAGCCUGCCUACACUCUUUCUUAAAGAACCUCACAAUAUAAGAACACAGAGGAUCGAUUUUCCAGAAAAAUUAAAAAAGACGUAAGAAUAAGACCAACGAAAUAAGAACAACGUACGAAGAACGUGUUUUUGGAAAUUUGGUCUCGAUUUUAUCAGGUAAUCCACUAAGCUACUAAAGAUGUCAUGCAAAACUGCUAUUUUGCGGUCUUAGAUACAAUUUAUAUUGUAUAAAUAUAGACAGGUGCCUAUAUCUGGAGAUACCCUAAAAACCUCUAAAAUGGAGCCAAUAUAUUCAAAUAUUACAGAAGAGGUCAAAAUAAAAGGUGACAAAUUUAAGCAAAACACGAAGUUGCAAAAUAGCUGAAGAUUUGAGCCUCAAUCAUAUUUGCUGAGUUUUAUGAUGCUUUAAG